rnacentral:rRNA from 1 species
GAUGAACGCUGGCGGCGUGCCUAACACAUGCAGGUCGAACGGAGAUUACGGACGGAAGUUUUCGGAUGGAAGCCUGUAAUUCUUAGUGGCGGACGGGUGAGUAACGCGUGGGCAACCUGCCCUAUACAGGGGGAUAGCAGCUGGAAACGGCUGGUAAGACCGCAUAAGUCGGUUAAAUCGCAUGAUUUGAUCGGGAAAUGAGCAAUCAGGUAUAGGAUGGGCCCGCGUCCGAUUAGCCAGUUGGCAGGGUAAAAGCCUACCAAAGCGACGAUCGGUAGCCGGACUGAGAGGUCGGACGGCCACAUUGGGACUGAGACACGGCCCAAACUCCUACGGGAGGCAGCAGUGGGGGAUAUUGCACAAUGGAGGAAACUCUGAUGCAGCGACGCCGCGUGAGUGAAGAAGUAUUUCGGUAUGUAAAGCUCUAUCAGCAGGGAAGAUGAUGACGGUACCUGACUAAGAAGCCCCGGCUAACUACGUG